AACUAAAACACAUAACAAUAUUGUCAAAUGAAACUGAAUUGUAAUUAAAUGAUAUGACAUCGUUUUGCUUUAUGGUCCAUGCUGUUACAUGGACUAUGGUCCAUG